AAAAAUAACUGAUAAGAUUGCUGACCAUGGGUUCCCAGAGAGCCUUCCAGAGACAACAUUCCUGCUGGAUGCUGUGUGGUAGAUUCUCAGCUCUGGCCUCUUUGCCAAGAUCCCUGUGGCUGGGCUCAGGCCCAGAUUAAACUCCU
rfam:Sus scrofa chromosome 3.